GCACAUAUAGUUGGUUUAUGCAUCAAUUUCAAAACAAGAUUUUAUGUAUGGAAAAUGUUUUUUUACGAACAGAAUAUGAAAGAAUACUGCAAAUAACCGACUUUUCUUUUAACUGAAUAUGACUAGUGUGACGCCCCCAAAAUUAGGUAUACAUCACCCAUCUUGAGUCGUCAGAUACAUGGUACAGAAUUUAAAUACAACUUAAUAAUACAACUGUCGUGUACAAUACGAUAAAACAUAAACUGUGAGUUUGAAUACAAAUAUUGUCU
rnacentral:lncRNA from 1 species